rnacentral:rRNA from 1 species
UACGGAGGGUGCGAGCGUUAAUCGGAAUCACUGGGCGUAAAGCGCACGUAGGCGGCCUAUCAAGUCGGAUGUGAAAGCCCUCGGCUCAACCGGGGAACUGCAUUCGAAACUGACAGGCUGGAGUCUCGGAGAGGGUGGCGGAAUUCCCGGUGUAGGAGUGAAAUCCGUAGAUAUCGGGAGGAACACCAGUGGCGAAGGCGGCCACCUGGACGAUGACUGACGCUGAGGUGCGAAAGCGUGGGUAGCAAACAGG